rnacentral:rRNA from 1 species
GACGAACGCUGGCGGCGUGCUUAACACAUGCAAGUCGAACGAAGUGGCGAACGGGUGAGUAACGCGUAAUCAACCUGCCCUUAAGAGGGGGACAACAGGUGGAAAAGACUGCUAAUACCGCAUACUGAGGGAGGGGAGUGAGGUUGAUUAGCUAGUUGGCGGGGUAACGGCCUACCAAGGCGAUGGUCAGUAGCCGGUCUGAGAGGAUGAACGGCCACAUUGGGACUGAGACACUGGCCAGACUCCCACGGGAGGCAGCAGUGGGGAAUCUUCCGCAAUGGACGAAAGUCUGACGGAGCCACGCCGCGUGAGUUAUGACGGCCUUCGGGUUGUAAAGCUCUGUUAAUCGGGACGCGGUACCGGAAUAGAAAGCCACGGCUAACUACGUGCCAGCAGCCGCGGUAAUAC